AGAGAUGUGGCUCAAAGGUAGAGCAUUUGCCUGGCAUGUGUGAGGCUCUGGGUUCAAUUCUCAGCACUA
rnacentral:tRNA from 1 species